rnacentral:misc_RNA from 1 species
UCUGGAUGAGAAUUUUGAGGGCAUCAGGGAGUUUGAAGCAGAUUUGGCGUUGAAGGAAUUGGAUCCAUUGAUGGGUUUCGAUUUGACAGCUUCAAACUAGAUUUAGAAAGGGUGAUUGAAACGAGGUUACUGAGUUUUGCUCGUCGAAUUGGGCUUCUUUAGAUGCUGUAACUAAAUUAACGUAUCUCUGCGUCGCGUUAACUUGAAAACUAAUGCCCGUUUUGUUCAAUUCUUUCUGGGCAAUGUAGUCUGCUAGAGGCGAAUUUUAAUUUGGUCAAUUUUGAUUAAUUAUCUUUGGUUUCAAGACGGGUACUUAAGUGCUAAAAUCUAGGAUGCUAUUGGAGUUCAAGAAAUGAAAUCUAGGAUACAAAAGUGAGAUAAUCGGGGAACACAUCUGGUUCAAGAAGUGUCUUUUUUCCUUGCAAUUCCUUCUUUGGGCUGUGAUGGUGAUAGAUAAUUUGUUUCUCUGUACAUUGGAAGCUGCUUGUCAUCUUUAUAAGCUAGGAUUAUUGUUCUUGAGACUUCUGUAAUUCUAAAGACAUUUUUUGAUGCCAUGUUGUUUGAUGUCUACUUUUAUAUCUCUUCUUAAUUUGUUGGGGGUUAUUAACUGUCCAUGUUUCCAUUGUGUCUGGACAUUUUGAUUAAAUCUGUAGGAAUGAUGCUUCACAAACACUCUUCUAUCUCUCUCUCUCUCUC